rnacentral:rRNA from 1 species
GUCCAGACUCCUACGGGAGGCAGCAGUGGGGAAUAUUGCGCAAUGGGGGAAACCCUGACGCAGCAACGCCGCGUGAGUGAAGAAGUAUCUCGGUAUGUAAAGCUCUAUCAGCGGGGAAGAAGGAAGACGGUACCCGACUAAGAAGCCCCGGCUAACUACGUGCCAGCAGCCGCGGUAAUACGUAGGGGGCGAGCGUCAUCCGGAUUUACUGGGUGUAAAGGGAGCGUAGACGGCGGCGCAAGUCUGGAGUGAAAGCCCGUGGCCCAACCACGGGACUGCUUUGGAAACUGUGUUGCUGGAGUGCAGGAGGGGUAAGCGGAAUUCCUAGUGUAGCGGUGAAAUGCGUAGAUAUUAGGAGGAACACCGGUGGCGAAGGCGGCUUACUGGACUGUAACUGACGUUGAGGCUCGAAGGCGUGGGGAGCAAACAGGAUUAGAUACCCUAGUA